rnacentral:rRNA from 1 species
UGGGGAAUUUUGGACAAUGGGGGCAACCCUGAUCCAGCCAUGCCGCGUGAGUGAAGAAGGCCUUCGGGUUGUAAAGCUCUUUUGUCCGGGAAGAAAGGGUUGGGGUGAAUAGUCCCGAUCGUUGACGGUACUGGAAGAAUAAGCACCGGCUAACUACGUGCCAGCAGCCGCGGUAAUACGUAGGGUGCGAGCGUUAAUCGGAAUUACUGGGCGUAAAGGGUGCGUAGGCGGUGCUCACAAGUCCGUUGUGAAAGCCCCGGGCUUAACCUGGGAACGGCAGUGGAAACUAGGGCACUUGAAUGUGGCAGAGGGGGGUGGAAUUCCACGUGUAGCAGUGAAAUGCGUAGAGAUGUGGAGGAACACCGAUGGCGAAGGCAGCCCCCUGGGCCAGCAUUGACGCUGAGGGCACGAAAGCGUGGGGAGCAAACAGGAUUAGAUACCCCCGUAGUCC